rnacentral:lncRNA from 1 species
CAACACCAAGAUCUCUUCAUCUGACUGCACUUGGGCACUUCAUGCCAUUUGAGAAGCAUCUCAGACAGUGUGCCAGGCAUCCCCAUCAGGCUGGCAGUGUGCCUUGGUCUGAAAUCCCUCAUCCGAGAAACCAGUUCACAUUUUCCCACACCUCUACUUCUGAACGGAAGGGAGAAUAAAGAAUGAAAAAUGGAUGGGAAAAGUAAAUGGACACCACUGAAUAUGGACCACAGCUUUAAAUCACUUUGAUGCCAGUCUCUACUUGAAGUUAAAGCCUCUAACAAGUGACACUGUAUUUCUUUUUUUUUUUUAUGUCAACAUUUUGUCAUUGAAUCAGACAAUUUCACUGAGCAUAUGUGCAAAGGGUAUCUUCUAAGUUUUCCCUGUUCAACUGACAACUUC